GGUGCUGGAAAAGUUUGAAAACCUUGAAAAUACUUAAAAAUGAUUGGAAACUUUUCCAAAGUCAAUUGAAAGCUGAUUCAGUGACUCUCUAACUCUCCUCAUGUCGUCCAGUUGAGGGGUAAUUUUGCUAUAAAAGGUUUUCUGGUGAUUUCUGGGAGGCGUCUCACAGAAACAGACUAAUUUCCGUUUUCUUCUGUCCGUCUGUGAAAAGAUGGCCGUGCAAAUCGCUCAGGCUGCUGAUUGCCGCGACUUUGUGCAUCGCAAACAGGAAGAGGAAGCGUUGAGGGCAGCAAGGAAGAGGAAGAGGCAGAUCGCCUGGGGGUUUGAGGCGAAGCAACGAUGGGAAACCAAAAGCAAUAUGGGCUUCAUGUGAUGAAAAUGGAGGAAGAGGAGUUAAUUUGAUUAAAAAAGUGUUUUUUUUUCCUUUUCAUUCUUCUUGUAUGUUUUGAAGGCAUUGCAGCAGCUGAAUGUGAGGGGGAAAUGUCAGGCAGUCGGCUGAGAGAAAACCAAUCCAGAGUGAAGCAGAGAGAGGAAAAUAAUGAAGAAGCAUUCAAAUUAAUUCCCAAGGCGCCCACUGGUGUCUGCAUUGUGUUAUUUUUCAUUACAUUUCAGUGAUUUCAGCCUUUUUUCCCUUCCCUCCCCUUCAAAUUAAAUCUGGUGUACAUUACUGGA